UACGUAGGGGGCAAGCGUUGUCCGGAUUUAUUGGGCGUAAAGAGCGUGUAGGCGGCCAGACGGGUCCGUUGUGAAAACUCGAGCUCAACCUCGAGACGCCGAUGGAAACCGUCCGGCUAGAGUCCGGAAGAGGAGAGUGGAAUUCCUGGUGUAGCGGUGAAAUGCGCAGAUAUCAGGAAGAACACCCGUGGCUAAGGCGGCUCUCUAGUACGGUACUGACGCUGAGACGCGAAAGCGUGGGGAGCGAACAGG
rnacentral:rRNA from 1 species